rnacentral:ncRNA from 1 species
GUUGUUGGGUAGGGGAGCGUUCUGUAAGCCUGCGAAGGUGGACUGUGAGGUCUGCUGGAGGUAUCAGAAGUGCGAAUGCUGACAUAAGUAACGAUAAAGCGGGUGAAAAGCCCGCUCGCCGGAAGACCAAGGGUUCCUGUCCAACGUUAAUCGGGGCAGGGUGAGUCGACCCCUAAGGCGAGGCCGAAAGGCGUAGUCGAUGGGAAACGGGUUAAUAUUCCCGUACUUGGUGUUACUGCGAAGGGGGGACGAAGAAGGCUAGGCCGGCCGGGUGACGGUUAUCCCGGUUUAAGCGUGUAGGUGGGUGGUCUUGGUAAAUCCGGACCGCUAUUAACACUGAGGCGUGAUGACGAGUCUCUACGGAGAUGAAGUGGUUGAUGCCCUGCUUCCAGGAAAAGCCUCUAAGCAUCAGGUAACAUUAAAUCGUACCCCAAACCGACACAGGUGGUCAGGUAGAGAAUACUCAGGCGCUUGGGAGAACUCGGGUGAAGGAACUAGGCAAAAUGGUGCCGUAACUUCGGGAGAAGGCACGCUGGCAGUAGGUGAAGUGGCUUGCCCAUGGAGCCGAAGCCAGUCGAAGAUACCAGCUGGCUGCAACUGUUUAUUAAAAACACAGCACUGUGCAAACACGAAAGUGGACGUAUACGGUGUGACGCCUGCCCGGUGCUGGAAGGUUAAUUGAUGGGGUUAGCGUAAGCGAAGCUCUUGAUCGAAGCCCCAGUAAACGGCGGCCGUAACUAUAACGGUCCUAAGGUAGCGAAAUUCCUUGUCGGGUAAGUUCCGACCUGCACGAAUGGCGUAAUGAUGGCCAGGCUGUCUCCACCCGAGACCCAGUGAAAUUGAACUCGCAGUGAAGAUGCUGUGUACCCGCGGCAAGACGGAAAGACCCCGUGAACCUUUACUAUAGCUUGACACGGAACAUUGAACCUUGAUGUGUAGGAUAGGUGGGAGGCUUUGAAGUGUGGACGCCAGUCUGCAUGGAGCCAACCUUGAAAUACCACCCUUUAAUGUUUGAUGUUCUAACUCGACCUGCUGAAUCGUGGGUGAGGACAGUGUCUGGUGGGUAGUUUGACUGGGGCGGUCUCCUCCCAAAGAGUAACGGAGGAGCACGAAGGUUGGCUAAUCCUGGUCGGACAUCAGGAGGUUAGUGCAAAGGCAUAAGCCAGCUUGACUGCGAGAGUGACGGCUCGAGCAGGUACGAAAGUAGGUCUUAGUGAUCCGGUGGUUCUGAAUGGAAGGGCCAUCGCUCAACGGAUAAAAGGUACUCCGGGGAUAACAGGCUGAUACCGCCCAAGAGUUCAUAUCGACGGCGGUGUUUGGCACCUCGAUGUCGGCUCAUCACAUCCUGGGGCUGAAGUAGGUCCCAAGGGUACGGCUGUUCGCCGUUUAAAGUGGUACGCGAGCUGGGUUUAGAACGUCGUGAGACAGUUCGGUCCCUAUCUGCCGUGGGCGCUGGAAGAUUGAGGGGGGUUGCUCCUAGUACGAGAGGACCGGAGUGAACGCACCGCUGGUGUACGGGUUGUGAUGCCAAUUGCAUUGCCCGGUAGCUACGUGCGGAAAAGAUAAGCGCUGAAAGCAUCUAAGCGCGAAACUUGCCCCAAGAUGAGUCUUCCCUGGAGCUUUGAGCUCCCUAAAGGAACGUUAAAGACGAUGACGUAGAUAGGCUGGGUGUGUAAGUGCAGCGAUGUAUUGAGCUAACCAGUACUAAUGAACCGUGAGGCUUAACCUU